CCCCGUUCACAUCGCUGUGCCAAUCGUUCUCGGUUUGGACCACCAGCAACAGUUUCCAAGUGUCGAAAUCUGGCUGGCCCAUCAUCAACAUCAGUGGAACGAGGACUCGCACUGCACUUGGAAUCAAUAUUAAUAGUUGAUUGCAAAAACCUGAUGGAGUUGCCCAAGUUACCCGCAUCUUUGAAAUUAUUGAAGAUCCUUUGCUGCCCCAAUAUGAAGGCCUUGACAGACCAGCUGGGACACCUCCCCGCUCUUGAGGAUCUCGAAUUUUGGGAUUGCUCCAAUCUAACAUCUUGGUCGGAAGGGAUGGAAGGGUUCACUACUAUUCAGUACCUGCGCAUCGUGAAUUGCCCUCUAUUGACAACGUUACCAAGAGCCCUACAACAGCGAAUCCCCAGCCUUGAGAGACUGGCCAUUAGGGGUUGCCCCGACCUGGAGAGACGAUGCGAAAGAGGAGAGUAUUGGGAUCUCGUGUCCCUCUUGCCAGCUUCUGAAAUAGGAGAGCAGCGCAGAGAACAACCACCAUCCUUCUGCAGAAGCUCUUGCUUGGACUGUUUCUCUCCCAUCUGAGAACUCAAAGUGCACUUGGAGAAUUAGUCAUUCCAGGAUUUGAAGAGUCAAGGAAGAUAUGAUUGAAAGAUGGCUUCUUGGGCAGUGAGCACAAUCCCCUAUAUGUUUUUUAUCCCUUGAUUCUCAACAUUUUCAUUCGCAUUUACAAACGAAUGUCACUAGAUGCCAUCUAAUCCCAUUUGGUUUUGUGAAUGAGGUUCUCUACUGAUUCAUUUUGCUUAGUUGUGUGUCUUUAUGACUCUCGUAGCAAAUAUAGUGAUGCUCCUAUGGAGUGGUGUCACCAUAUUGCUGGUGUCUGAGGAGAAAGCGGUCAACAAGAAGGAAAAUCAGUUCUGUAUGCAAUCCUCAACACCCUUGUGAAAGGCAACCACUAGAGCAAAAAUUUGGGUGGCCCAGCAUCUACAAAAGGUGUUAAACAAGCAUUUUGCAAUCAUAUCUUCUGAAACUAUAUUCGUAUGGAAAGUUUCAAAGUUCAAUUGCUUUGUAAGGACCCUAUUUACUAAGUUGGGAACAUAUCAUUUACAAAAAGAAUUAAGCUAUAGCAAUUUUCAUCAGUUUUUUAAUAUAUAUUUAAGUCCAUUUGGCCCUCACAUCUUUCCUAAUUUAUUUUUGUUUGGUCAUGGAAAUUUUUAUCUAUUACUAGGUAUGUAAUUGCUUCUAGCUAUUUGCCUAUUUGUAGAAUCCUACUGGUAGGAAUGCAUGAUUUAUCUGGAUAGGUCUUAUCAACUUGAUGGAAAAUGCAUUCUUAUGGACCAAGGAUAUCUAU